rnacentral:rRNA from 1 species
GACGAACGCUGGCGGCGUGCUUAACACAUGCAAGUCGAACGGAAAGGCCCUGCUUUUGUGGGGUGCUCGAGUGGCGAACGGGUGAGUAACACGUGAGUAACCUGCCCUUGACUUUGGGAUAACUUCAGGAAACUGGGGCUAAUACCGGAUAGGAGCUCCUGAUGCAUGGUGGGGGUUGGAAAGUUUCGGCGGUUGGGGAUGGAAUCGCGGCUUAUCAGCUUGUUGGUGGGGUAGUGGAUUACCAAGGCUGUGACGGGUAGCCGGCCUGAGAGGGUGACCGGCCACAUUGGGACUGCGAUACGGCCCAGACGCCUACGGGAGGCAGCAGUGGGGAAUAUUGCACAAUGGGCGGGAGCCUGAUGCAGCAACGCCGCGUGCGGGAUGACGGCCUUCGGGUUGUAAACCGCUUUCGCCUGUGACGAAGCGUGAGUGACGGUAAUGGGUAAAGAAGCACCGGCUAACUACGUG